rnacentral:misc_RNA from 1 species
GGCGAAUCCGACACCGUCUCCGUUCCCGAUCUCGCCUCCGAUCCACAACGUUCCUUCUUCUCAUCCUUCAUUAUUUGACUCGACCGGCACUCCGAACUACAAAACGCCAUUUCCCCUCUGUACAUGUAAAUGUCUUUGCCCUCUAGAUUUUUCCCACAUAAAUGACACGAUCGGAGGAAAUCAGGGGUCCGACGCGGCGGAGCUUGAUCGGCGGGAACCGGCGAUGGAGGCGAUUUCUUGCCGGCAACGAGACCACCGUCGUAGUACACACGUGUGGAGGAUUCGUGAGGUCCACGUGUGGUAACGUAAGUGUAAUUUUCCUCCAAAUUGUCGAGUUCUUCGUCGACGUCUUCCUCCGGCGGGAACGACCCACCGACCAAUCCGAU